ensembl:lncRNA
CGCGGCCUUCGGGCUGCUGCUGCCCGCACGGCUUCCCGUCUACCGAGAGCUCUCGAGGAGAAAGCACGAAGUGGCCAAGGAAGGAGGCGAUUCGGUCUGCUGAAAAAUGGCUUCGUAUCCACCCCUGACCCAAAAGGCAGCAAAAACCCCCAGUGAGCAUACCCCUUUUUGCACUGCGGAGCUGGUUUUUUCAUCUGAGAGACACGAGGAAAAAGCAUUGUUUUGUUAGCAAUCAGUGAGCAAUCUUUGCAUCCCUGAAAUCAGACCGGGGCAAUGUUCUGCACGGCUGUCUCCUGCGGUCUGGCUCCUGACAUGCUGAGUUCUGGAAAACUUUCUCACUAUGAGACUCCACCAGGGAAUGAUCUGUCUCACAGACUGGAAGCCUCACAGUUUUCCCUGGUUUCCUGAAGAAGCAGCAUUUGCAGCAGUGAGAAAAAACCCACUGAGAGAACUGAUUCUAUUUGGGUGAGUUGUACUGAAGAAAUAUUGCUAUUUUAGAAAUAACCAUUAUUGGUUUUGAUUUGAUGUGGAAUACAAUAAAGCUCAAGCUGAAUUACGCAAGGUUACUAUAAUUAUUUUGAAAGCUCAGCAUGGAAAAAUUGGUAACAGCUCAUGUGCUCACAUCAGGGAUCGUUUCAAUUUUACCCACAUGAGCAGUUGCUCAUUCACUGCUGAUUGCAACAAUCUUUUAAUCAAGAAAACAGUGUGGAUAUUUUACUCCAGCUGGUAAUGGGGGCUGGGGGAAAUAGCGAGAUGAAUUUUACAAACUGAAUUUGAGAACUGAAUUUCUUCAAAGUGAUGAUACUUGCUAAAGAGAAUGAAGUGGCUAUAAAGCUUCUUUAAAAGAAUGAUAGCGUCGGAUUCAGCCUUCAAGCAGCAUGCUACAAAUGCACUCUGAUCCUAGGAGUAGCAACGGUAAGGUCUGUGGCACAGACAACCUACAGAGGGGGCUUUUCGCGCAGCUCUUCGUGUGGCAGUAAUGGAGCGGAGCUCUGGUUUUAAUUCCACCGGGGACAAAUUAUAAAUUGCUAAGUGAAUGAGGCAGCACAUAACAAAACAGCUGGAAGUAAGGGUCUCCCCAUUCGUUCUCUUUACUGCCCAAAUUAGCUCUUUCAGUGCUUGCUUUCUUGUGCAAAACCAACUGAGUACAUUGAAGACUGACUACUACAGCUGUAACAAUAAAAAAAAAAUGAAGGCAGGCACUGCAGUUGGCUCCCCAGAUGGGUUGGUGUAGGGAGGGGAUCAGAUGGGAAGUCUUUCCAGUGUUCCAAAGUCCCAUAAGUAGGGAGAAAAGCAGCCAGGUAGAUCUCUUUAGUUGUUAAAAUAUUGGAGGGAAAAGGUAUUCAAUAUGUUUAGUGACAGCAUGAGAAUUCUUGAUGAAACCUGUUACACGCAUUUUUCAACAGGAAAAUAGCACUUCCAUGCAAAAGAAACUCAACUUUUCCAGCUGCUGUUUCACCAGCUUCAGGACUACAACAAAUCCUUCAAGUCCUUAUUAUAGCCUGAUAGUGUCUCACAUCAUCCAUUUUAAGCAGGAUCCAUCCAGGUAUAAAUGACACAAGCAACUGUACUUGCAUGCUUCAAGACCAUUCUGCAAUGCAUAUGGGAGUCAGCAGUGCCAAACAAGUGUUCAGCUUCAGGCUAUUGCAUGUUGCCUGCUCUUAUUGUGCUCACUCACACCUGCCCUGGCUCAGACAAGGGCCAGUUUGGAUCCAUGCUUCCUGCUGGGAAUGCCAUUCUGAAAGUAGAAUACUAGUGAGACUUCGACUCAGGUGGCCUUUCUGAGGGGAGACAAGAGCUAAGGAGAAUUUAUACCACAAAUCUCACAACUGGUGUCACUGACCAGAUUUGGGAACGUGAAAGAAACACCCAUGCUACAAGAAUCUGGAACUAUACAGACUAGUGCAAAUAGGCAGGUAUGGAACAGGAGCAAGGCCCCACCAAGGCGUGCAUGUAACUGGCACUCAGAAGAUAUGAACAAGUAGUCUGUGCUGAAAUGGGAUGCUUGGCCUUUGUAAGCGUUCUUUGGUGGUGGUGUUUUGUUGGUGUUUUUUUAAUCUGCAUUAAAGAUGCACUUUUAGAGGGAGACACUACUGAAUUGUGUAGUUUAGGAGCAUUUCCUUUGAAUAUAAGAGUACAUAGGCAAGACAUUUUUGUCCUUCCUAGGCACAAGUGCAGAGACUCCAGAUACCCAAAGUCACAACUGAGAGUUUUCUCUCCCUCCCCCACCCCAGUGUUGGUGGUUUCACUGUGAAACCUGCACACCUGCAGAAUUUAGGCUGGGGCACCAUUUCUUUCUAAUGCAAUAAAGAGAGAAAACCCUACUUAGGUAUGUGAUUAAUGCCCGUUUUCCCACCUUGAUCUUC